rnacentral:lncRNA from 1 species
CUCUGCCCGUAAAGACUCUCACCACACGGCAGCACCAGAGACGCUCUGAACCUCUUCUGGUCAGGGGGCUGCCUGAUUCCCAUAUCAUUCUUUGCUCAAUUAAACUCUGUUAAAUGUAGUUUGCCUCAGUUUUCCUUUUAACAGGCAGAAACUACCACCUCACAGAAUUGCUAUGAAGACUGAACAUGGUCACUCUGUGAAAACAUUUCAUAAACUGUGUGUCGCUUGCGAAUGCUGUUAUUUUUCUCAUCUGUAAAAUAAAGGAAUUCAACCAGGGGAUUUGAAUAGUUUCUGUAUUCAUUUCCUGUGGCUGCCAUAACCAAGCACCACAAAUCGGGUGGUUCAUAGCCACAGAACUGUGUCCUCCUGCGGUUCUGGAAGCCGAGUCUGAAAUGAAGGUGGCGGCAGGGCUGUCCUUCCUCUGACGGCUCAGGAC